GGAAGAAGAUAUAAGAAAAUAGGUGAACAUUUAUAUCUAAUGUUAGAAAAAGAAGAAUUAAAAUUAGAAGAUAAAUUGACAGCAAUAGUAAGAAUAGAAAGAGAAAAUGAAGAAAUAGAUAGGAAAAAGGAAAUAGAAAAAAUAAAACAACAAACUACAGAAGAAAUACGAAAAAUAGAAGAAACUAAAAAUAGUAGGAUUGCUGAAUUAGAAAAAGAACUACAAAUAUUAAAAGAAUUGUAUGAACAAAGACAAAAAGAAAAAGAAGAAAAA
rnacentral:lncRNA from 1 species